rnacentral:rRNA from 1 species
GAGUACGUGAAACCGUUCAGGGGUAAACCUGAGAAACCCAAAAGAUCGAAUGGGGAGAUUCAUCGUCAACGGUGCUGGCUCCCGUUUGUGCGCGAUGCUCCGAAUGGGCUCUCGUGGUUCCAUGGCGAGAGCACGCCACUUUCGGCCUGAACGUUCCGGCACCGUAGUCGUGCACUUCUCCCCUAGUAGAACGUCGCGACCCGUUGCGUGUCGGUCUACGGCCCGAGCGGGCGCCUGCCGCGGCGCAUUACGCGCACACGGCAGACCCUCGGUUGCCCGGCCGACUGCGCGACGGUACUCACACGGUAUCGGGCCGCAACCAAUCCAUUCUCGAAUGUGUUUGCGUCAGGCCCGCCGCAAGCUCGGGCAGUUUUACCCGGAGGUACGGACCUGGUGCCGUCCCCGGGCCUGACCAGCUGUUAGCAGGCGGUGUCCUCGGACUGGCCAAGCUUCGAAUUACCGGUCGGCGACGCUCCUGCUUUGGGUACUCUCAGGACCCGUCUUGAAACACGGACCAAGGAGUCUAACAUGUGCGCGAGUCAUUGGGAUGCAUAAACCUAAAGGCGCAAUGAAAGUAAAGGUCGGCCUACGCGUCGACCUAGGGGGGAUGGGCCGCGUUACGAUGCGGCCCCGCACUCCCGGGGCGUUUCGUUCUCAUUGCGAGAAGAGGCGCACCUAGAGCGUACACGUUUGGGACCCCAAA